rnacentral:rRNA from 1 species
CCUACGGGAGGCAGCAGUGGGGAAUAUUGCACAAUGGGGGGAACCCUGAUGCAGCGACGCCGCGUGAGUGAAGAAGUAUUUCGGUAUGUAAAGCUCUAUCAGCAGGGAAGAAGAUGACGGUACCUGACUAAUACGCCCCGGCUAACUCCGUGCCAGCAGCCGCGGUACUACGUAGGGGGCAAGCGUUAUCCGGAUUUACUGGGUGUAAAGGGAGCGUAGACGGCAGGGCAAGUCUGGAGUGAAAGCCCGGGGCCCAACCCCGGGACUGCUUUGGAAACUGCCAUGCUAGAGUGCUGGAGAGGUAAGCGGAAUUCCUAGUGUAGCGGUGAAAUGCGUAGAUAUUAGGAGGAACACCAGUGGCGAAGGCGGCUUACUGGACAGUAACUGACGUUGAGGCUCGAAAGCGUGGGGAGCAAACAGGAUUAGAUACCCCAGUAGUC